rnacentral:rRNA from 1 species
GACGAACGCUGGCGGCGUGCUUAACACAUGCAAGUCGAACGGAAAGGCCCUGCUUUUGUGGGGUGCUCGAGUGGCGAACGGGUGAGUAACACGUGAGUAACCUGCCCUUUACUUUGGGAUAACUUCAGGAAACUGGGGCUAAUACCGGAUAGGAGCUCCUGCUGCAUGGUGGGGGUUGGAAAGUUUCGGCGGUUGGGGAUGGACUCGCGGCUUAUCAGCUUGUUGGUGGGGUAGUGGCUUACCAAGGUUUUGACGGGUAGCCGGCCUGAGAGGGUGACCGGCCACAUUGGGACUGAGAUACGGCCCAGACUCCUACGGGAGGCAGCAGUGGGGAAUAUUGCACAAUGGGCGGAAGCCUAAUGCAGCAACGCCGCGUGCGGGAUGACGGCCUUCGGGUUGUAAACCGCUUUCGCCUGUGACGAAGCGUGAGUGACGGUAAUGGGUAAAGAAGCACCGGCUAACUACGUG